CAGAGCUCCGCCGGUCUGAGCUCAGCUUUCCCGCCGGUCUCCCCGAAAGUGAGAGGGUUUCAUAUAGCGCAAGCCCCCUCCUGGUCGCCCCUAGAGUCCCCUUUUUCUGGUGCCUCGUAGGGAUGCUUUUGGUGGUCCUCGUGCUCCUGCUGCCCACAGUCUCCGAUGCCUGUGGUGAUCCACCAAGGUUUGAAACUAUGAGGCUCCAGGGUGCGCCUAAACCCAGGUAUCGUCCUGGGGAACGUAUACAAUAUGACUGUCGCCUAGGUUUCAAGCCCAUAAUUCCUCUUCGUUCCAGAUCUGCUGUUUGUGAGGAUGACAAUACAUGGUCAGCUCUCGAGGAGGCCUGUACAAGAAAAUCAUGUCCUAAUCUGGGAGAUCCAAUGAAUGGUCAAGUUUACUUCGUCAAUGGAAGUAUUCUGUUUGGUUCACAGGCUCACUUUGUUUGUAAUCAGGGUUUUUAUCUGAUUGGAGCAAGAAUUCUACAUUGUGAAAUUUCUGAAAACAAUGUGAACUGGAAUGAUAAUUCCCCAACAUGUGAAAAGAUCUUGUGUUCCACACCUGGAAAUAUAAAAAAUGGAAGAUUUACCAUUUACAAGGAUGAAUAUCAAUAUAAUGAAAUAGUAACUUAUAUGUGUGAUCCUUCAAAUGGAUCAGAUGAAUAUUCUCUUGUUGGAGAGAGCAGGCUUGUUUGUGUCGAUCAUGACAGAUGGAGCAGUGACCCUCCGGCGUGUAAAGUGGUCAAAUGUGACUAUCCAGUUGUUGAACAUGGAAUGAUAGUAUCAGGAUUUAGAAGAAAAUUUUACUACAAAAUGCAAGUUGUAUUUAAAUGUAACCAGGGUUUCUCCCUUCAUGGCAACAGCACAGUUGUCUGUAACGCAAACAGUGCUUGGGAGCCCGAGAUACCAACGUGUGCUCAAGUGCCACUUGCUGCUACGACUAAGCCUUCAACUACCCAUGCCUCAGGUCCUCGUCCAAAUACAACUACAGUGUCAAGUUCAACAGGUCUUCGUCCAGCUACAACUACAACAUCAAGUCAUGCAGCACAUGUGUCUCCAACGGUUGACUUAGAGCCUGACUCCUUUGAGGACUUCGAUGCAGCAGUCAUUGGUGUGAUUAUUCUUUCUGUGCGUAUCUGAGAUUUCCUGUCAGCAUUUUAAGAGGCAUUCUGUGAGGACUGUUCCGCGUGGAGAUAUAUUUUCGAUGUGUCCGAGGAAGGAGGGUUGAUGGAAACUAAGGACCAAAGUAGACAACGCCUGCAUCUCUCCUAACGUAGCUGAAUUCAUCAGCGCACCUCUAGGGGCCACGUGAGUCCAGGCUCAGUUGAGCGAAGGUUUCUGCGGGAACGCUGACGGCAGAGGCUCCGGGGCUGCAGCCUGUUUGGGACUGAGGUCAGUUUCCCCUUCAACUCGGGUCUGCAACGCUUCUCUAUCAUCUUUUUUCUCAUUUUAUGUCUUGGCUCAUUGAAUUUCUUUCUUGUCUUAACGUACUACAUUUUUAAUAUCUGUUUGCUGUAACCGACUUUGAACUCUUUAUGAAGUAGGUAAUAUUGGCAUAUAACAA